GCAUUUUGCUGCCUUACUCUGCCCUGAAUGCACAGGACCGGGGAUGGUCCGUCAUUAACUGUAAACUGACUCUCAUCAGGAAACUGCACAUUAUUCCACCAUCCCUUCAAAGGUCUCAUCAGGCAGAGGUGACGCCAGGAGAUGAUUUAAAGGUGAAAAUGACAAGGUUUCCACCCCUCAAACCUUGGCUCCUUUUCUGACAAUACAGUCUGAAUGCACCCGAUGUCUUCUUUACUGUGGAAAUAGCAUCGGAAGAAAAAACAUAUUUUUUAAUCCUGAUAAAGAAGAUUAUUGGGAAGCUCUUUUUUAAAAAAAAAAAAAUCUCCAAUUGUGCACAGAUGGAUUUUAGAAAGUGUUAGAGCUUUCCAAUGAACACUAAUAGAGUACUCUGCUCUUGGCUGGAUUUUUCAGGUAAGAAGCCUCUUUAAGGAUUUAAGAUUCAGAAAACAGAUUUGUAACCUGUUCAGUCAUAUCUAGGGAACUAUGUAAGGCUGGAUGCAUUAUUUUGGUGGAAGACACUUAUUAACAUGGAGACAAGCUCUUGGUGAGAGUAAGCCAUGAGAGUGAUAAUGCACGAGCCUUGGAAGUGAUGCUAAGAAUGAAAGAAAGUUAAAUUAAAAAAGGAAAAAGAAGGAAAAUACUGCAAAUGUGAAGUCACAGUAAUCUUUUUAAGUGCUAAAAUAUAUGUGGGUGAAUAAAUGAGCAAGAGAAAGCACAGUCAUUGAAAAACUGUUAAGUUUUGAUUGUGGUAGGCUUUUUGAAAGUUGAGAUGAAUUCCUAGUGCAUUUUAACUGAAAUUCACAAGUAGUCAAUGCAUGCCACAGUCACCUCUAUUUUGUCUUUCUACAAUUUGCAGGGUAUUUGAAAAAGGCCCCCAAACGCAUUCAUUUCAAGGUUCACAAAAGGGGUGUUGCUAUUUAUCUCUGCUGAAGAUAAUGCAUCUAUGUUAUAUUGAUAGUUCUGAAGACAAUGAAGCUAAAUCUGUUGUCUACAAAAGUAAACAGUGGGCAGUGAAAGUAAUUAUAAAGUGAAUGGUCCAUCUGAAUCACAGAGUGAGGCAUGAAAGGCACCAUGCUGUUGCAAAUAAUGUUUUCCUACUUUGCACUUAAUUAUGGUUGUCACCAUUUGUCUAUUAUAGUCCUAAACCCUUCUUAAAGACUGCAUCUCUCUCCUAAAGCCCAUAAAUUAUCUUCUAUUAUGUCUGUAUAUACAUAUGUGUGUGUGUGUGUAUGUGUGUGUGUGUGUGUGUGUGUGUGUGUAUAUAUCUAUAUCUUUCUGCUUUCUGAACAUCACAGUUUUUGAAAGAGUGCCAAUUUCCGUGAAUAAAGAAACCACACUGGGAGGUCACUAGCAGAUUUUAAAUGUAUAGUUGAAAUACUUGUAGUGUGUAAUUUGACAGUAGAAAAUGUUAAAAAAGGAACAAUCUGGGUUCCGGAGCUCUAAGAGAAAAGCAUACACUUAACUGGAUUCUUGUAGAGAAAAUGCUUCCAUAUCACUGGCUGAGUAAGGACGAUGCUUCAAGUUUGAUUAAUUUGGCAAUAUGAAAUGCAGCAUAAGGUGUUGUUUGAGAAAUUGGACAAUAUGUAGCACAGUUGAAUCUCUGUAGCUCCUAAGAUCCUUAUAGGUGCAGAUAAGACUGUCAAAGUUUCAGCGCCUGAGAAAAGGUACAUGUUCAUCCAUAAAUACAUACACCACCUGUAUAUGCAUAUUCAUCAACACUAUACAACACAUGCCACAAUGGGAUCUUAGAAGGCAAAGCAAUAUUGUAAAUUAUGGCUCGCUCUAGGAUAGAAGCAUAGAUGUUGGAUCUGAAACUCAUUUUGGCUGAAGACAAUUCCUUCUGAUUCUAAGUCCAGCCAGAAAGACCAGUUCUAUCAGGAGAUUACAACAUGCCUCUGAGAAAUGAUUACUUAGUUUAGAAGACAGCAGAAUGAUUAAAAAUUCAUGACUGUAGAAUUAAAAAAAAAAAAAAAGAAUCCACUCUUUCCUUUCAGGCUUAUGUCAGACUUACAAUGAAGUUAGAAGGAACAGGAGUCUGCAGCUUUUCACUGCCUGGAAUAACUAUAGUUUAAAGAUCAUUGCGCAAAACAGGAUGUAUAGUCAGGAUACUAUGUUGCAAACUGCCUAACCCAAAGGCAAAAACUUGAAUUUAUUUCUGUGUUUUGGCAAGCCUUGGAGUUGGGUUUUGCAGAAUUUCAAAAAGAAUUCACGAUCUCUUGGAGAGAGCUUUCCGUCAGUCCCACUUCAUGGCAUGACCUCUGCUGGGUUAUUAAUUCCAGCCAGCAAAGUAGCAAAGGGGACAUGACGUCUGAGACCCCCCCCUCCUUCUUUCAUCAUUGGGACUGACUGAGCUGGGGGCUUGAAGCUGGAGGUAAUCCUUGCUGUCUCAUGUUGUCUUUAGAGAAUGGCAAUGGUCUCUGCAAUGUCCUGGGUCCUGUAUUUGUGGAUAAGUGCUUGUGCAGUGCUCCUGUGCCAUGGAACCCUUCAGCACACCUUCCAGCAGCACCACCUGCACAGACCAG
rnacentral:lncRNA from 1 species